rnacentral:tRNA from 1 species
AGCUGACUCUUAAUCAGCGGGUCGAGGGUUCGAGUCCCUCCGGGCCGACGA